ACCUAUGGCCAUACCACCCUGAACAUACCCGAUCUCAUCUGAUCUUGGAAGCUAAGCAAGCUUGGGCCUGGUUAGUACUUGGAUGAGAGAAAUCUUUAUACCGUAUUUG
ensembl:rRNA 5S_rRNA 5S ribosomal RNA